GAUCCUGGUUCAGAUUGAACGCUGGCGGCAGGCCUAACACAUGCAAGUCGAACGGUAACAGGAAGAAGCUUGCUUCUUUGCUGACGAGUGGCGGACGGGUGAGUAAUGUCUGGGAAACUGCCUGAUGGAGGGGGAUAACUACUGGAAACGGUAGCUAAUACCGCAUAAUGUCGCAAGACCAAAGAGGGGGGACCUUCGGGCCUCUUGCCAUCGGAUGUGCCCAGAUGGGAUUAGCUAGUAGGUGGGGUAACGG
rnacentral:rRNA from 1 species